AACUCUUAUCCUUCUGCUUUUCCUGGACAAACUGGACAGAAUAGCUGAAUAAUGGGACCUCUAGUUUCCGUCCUGAUUGUGUUUCUUGCUGUUCUCUCUGUUGCUCAGGGCCUGAUGUGUAACUACUGCCAGAGCAUUGACAUGAACAAUCCUUUCUGUGGGCAAACGGAGGAGCUAGAGUGCAGUACCAACCUCACACAUUGCAUCAGGCUCAUACUACAUGAACCAGCAUAUGGUGAAGUGCGUCGAUGUGCCAGUGCCAAGGAAUGUGAGGCAGAUGUGCCUCCUGUGGUGGAGAGAGAAUGCUGCAAUACAGACCUUUGCAACUGAACUUGUUAUGGUUGAGACUUAAUAUGCUCAAUUACAAUAAAUCAGCUAAAUCAUUCCAGUUGAUUAUUUAUAGCAAUAUACUCCAUGAUUUUUAAUAAGUGUAAUGAUACUGAAUGAUGAAUGAAGCAAUGAUGAAAAAAAUAGUGCAUGGUAAAAUACGGAAAAUUACACACUUGUGUCAAAACAAAAUAAAGUAAUGUUCAUGUCUGCAAUAGGAGAACAA